rnacentral:rRNA from 1 species
AGUGAACGCUGGCGGUAGGCCUAACACAUGCAAGUCGAACGGCAGCACAGUAAGAGCUUGCUCUUACGGGUGGCGAGUGGCGGACGGGUGAGGAAUACAUCGGAAUCUACUUUUUCGUGGGUGAUAACGUAGGGAAACUUACGCUAAUACCGCAUACGACCUACGGGUUAAAGCAGGUGAUCUUCGGACCUUGCGCGAUUGUAUGAGCCGAUGUCGGAUUAGCUAGUUGGCGGGGUAAAGUCCCACCAAGGCGACGAUCCGUAGCUGAUCUGAGAGGAUGAUCAGCAACACGGGAACUGAGACACGGUCCAGAAGCCUACGGGAGGAAGCAGUGGGGAAUAUUGGACAAUGGGAGAAAGCAUGAUCCAGCCAUACCGCGUGGGUGAAGAAGGACUUCGGGUUGUAAAGCCCUUUUGUUGGGAAAGAAAAGAAGCAGGUUAAUACCCCGCUGUUCUGACGGUACCCAAAGAAUAAGCACCGGCUAACUUCGUG